rnacentral:rRNA from 1 species
UGGGGAAUAUUGCACAAUGGGCGCAAGCCUGAUGCAGCCAUGCCGCGUGUGUGAAGAAGGCCUUCGGGUUGUAAAGCACUUUCAGCGAGGAGGAAGGUGGUGAACUUAAUACGUUCAUCAAUUGACGUUACUCGCAGAAGAAGCACCGGCUAACUCCGUGCCAGCAGCCGCGGUAAUACGGAGGGUGCAAGCGUUAAUCGGAAUUACUGGGCGUAAAGCGCACGCAGGCGGUUUGUUAAGUCAGAUGUGAAAUCCCCGGGCUCAACCUGGGAACUGCAUUUGAAACUGGCAAGCUAGAGUCUCGUAGAGGGGGGUAGAAUUCCAGGUGUAGCGGUGAAAUGCGUAGAGAUCUGGAGGAAUACCGGUGGCGAAGGCGGCCCCCUGGACGAAGACUGACGCUCAGGUGCGAAAGCGUGGGAGCAAACAGGAUUAGAUACCCUGGUAGUCCACGCUGUAAACGAUGUCGAUUUUGGAGGUUGUGCCCCUUGAGGCGUGGNUUCCGGAGCU